AGGCUGGAUAUGUGUGUGCUCUGGUUUCUUCUUAUUCUUUUUUUUUUUUGCAGAUUUUUGUUAUUGUUGAUAUGUUGUUUGCAGGAAUGGUUAUGUGAGAGUGGUUUUGUUGUUGUUGUUGUUUGGUGAUUCAAAGAAAGAGAGUUGUGGUGGUUAAGGUGUAUGUGAUAUAUGAUGUUUUUAGAGGUUAAAGAUGUUUUGUGAUUGAGGUUUAUGGUUGUUUAUGGUGGAGAGGUUAAGUGGGAUGGUUAAGAAGAGUAAUAGUGAAGUGAUUGAUUUUUUGUGUUUAAGGAGAUGAAUGGUGGUGUAUUAUGGUGAUGGGGUUUUGAAGGUGGAGGG
rnacentral:lncRNA from 1 species